AACGCAUCUUGCGCUCUUUGGUAUUCCGAAGAGCAUGCCUGUUUGAGUGUCAUGAAACUCUCACCUCCAAUCUUUUUUAACUAGAAGGUUGGAGCGUGGACGUGAGUGCUGCUGGUGCCCUGGUUGCAUCGGCUCACUUGAAAUUCAUUAGCUGAAUCCUUUAAAGUAGGCUCUACUCGACGUGAUAAGAUCUCCGUCGAGGACGGUGCUUCGGCAUUGGCCAACGAUAAAGUUGAUACGCUUCUAAUUAGCGCAGACUUCGAGUGCUGGCAAUUUUGACAACUUGGCCUCAAAUCAGGUAGGACUACCCACUGAACUUAA
rnacentral:misc_RNA from 1 species